GUUAAAAAAAAAACUUGAUUUCCGUGUCCAACAUUUGACCGUCCGUCUUAUUUGAAAAAAUUAUAAAAAAAAUUAAAAAGACAAGUCAGACAUAAAAUAUUAAUCAUGUUUUAUCAUCUAACAACAAUGAAAAUACGAAUUAUAAAAAAAUUUUAUAUAAAAAGGACAGAUAAAGUUAAACACGAAACUUCAGAUUUUGCCUUUUU
rfam:Oryza sativa (indica cultivar-group) chromosome 7, whole genome shotgun sequence.